CAAUUUAAGAGCACAAUACCGAACAGAGAGACUUGAGUCGAUUUCAUCUGAAGAAUCCUGGCCGGCGAAGACCACAACAAAAAAGUUCCGAGGAAUAAGUAAAAGGAGGAAGAAGAUGAUCUACCGAAAGUGGAGUCUGCUUUCCGGACCACCGGUUAUACUCGGCGGAGCCGUAGUUGCUGCCGUCGCCGUUGGCAUCCUCGUACAGAACGUUACCAAAGGGGAACAAAAGAAGAAUGUCUCAUCAAACAAGUGAAGAGGGAAAAGAUGGGAAGAAGAUGCUACAAAUAAACUGUCUAGUGUGUGAGUUGAAAUAUUUAGUUCAUGCAGUGUAAGCUCAAUAAUUAAUGAUUUUGGAAGCUUUUUCAAAUAUGCACAUCUCUUUUGGUGUUUUGGAUUCUUAUUCACAAUAAUUAUAUUUCAUUUUGCGCAUU